GAUGAACGCUGGCGGCGUGCCUAAUACAUGCAAGUCGAGCGACCAGACAAGGAGCUUGCUCCUCUGACGUUAGCGACUGACGGGUGGGUAACCCAUGGAUAACCUACCUAUAAGACUUGGAUAACUUCGGGAACCCGGAGCUACUACCGGAUAAUAUAUUGUACCGCAUGAUUCACUAGUUCUUGACAGUUUUGCUGUCUCUUAUAGAUGAUUCCGCGCCGCAUUAGCUAGUUGGUAAGGUAACGGCUUACCAAGGCAACGAUGCGUAGCCGACCUGAGAGGGUGAUCAGCCACACUGGAACUGAGACACGGUCCAGACUCCUACGGGAGGCAGCAGUAGGGAAUCUUCCGCAAUGGGCGAAAGCUUGACGGAGCAACGCCGCGUGAGUGAUGAAGGUCUUCGGAUCGUAAAACUCUGUUAUUAGGAAAGAAAAAAUGUGGAAGAAAACAUGCAUGUCCUGACGGUACCCAAUGAGAAAGCCACGGCUAACUACGUG
rnacentral:rRNA from 1 species